rnacentral:rRNA from 1 species
UACAGAGGGGGCAAGCGUUGCUCGGAAUUACUGGGCGUAAAGGGCGCGUAGGCGGGAUGGCAAGUCGGUCGUGAAAUCCCUCGGCUCAACCGAGGAACGUCGAUCGAUACUGCUGUUCUUGAGGAUUGCAGAGGAGACUGGAAUUCCCGGUGUAGCGGUGAAAUGUGUAGAGAUCGAGAGGAACACCUGCGGCGAAGGCGGGUAGCUGGGCCGACACUGACGCUGAGGCGCGAAAGCCAGGGGAGCGAACGGG